GAUGAACGCUGGCGGCGUGCCUAAUACAUGCAAGUCGAGCGAACGGACGAGAAGCUUGCUUCUCUGAUGUUAGCGGCGGACGGGUGAGUAACACGUGGAUAACCUACCUAUAAGACUGGGAUAACUUCGGGAAACCGUAGCUAAUACCGGAUAAUAUUUUGAACCGCAUGGUUCAAAAGUGAAAGACGGUCUUGCUGUCACUUAUAGAUGGAUCCGCGCUGCAUUAGCUAGUUGGUAAGGUAACGGCUUACCAAGGCAACGAUGCAUAGCCGACCUGAGAGGGUGAUCGGCCACACUGGAACUGAGACACGGUCCAGACUCCUAAGGGAGGCAGCAGUAGGGAAUCUGCCGCAAUGGGCGAAAGCCUGACGGAGCAACGCCGCGUGAGUGAUGAAGGUCUUCGGAUCGUAAAACUCUGUUAUUAGGGAAGAACAUAUGUGUAAGUAACUGUGCACAUCUUGACGGUACCUAAUCAGAAAGCCACGGCUAACUACGUG
rnacentral:rRNA from 1 species